GAGGCCGAGGCAGAGGCAGAGGCAGAGGCAGAGGCAGAGGCACGCAGGCAAUUUAGUAUCCAAACUAAGAUAUGCUAUAGGUAUAAAUAUAAACCAGAUUUCAAAGAUA